UGAAUGUUUUUUUUUUAAUUAAGUUUUUGCUGCUGGAUGUUUGAUGUUGGUGGGAUGGAUACACGUUUUUGUCUCUGAUUCACAUCUUUCAUGUGAAGAUUUGGUUACUAGGCGUUUGAUGAAAUGGGCCUUGUGUGUUCCUUGUUUGUUGCUCGAUAAUUUCUAUUUGUUGCUUGGGAUGUAUAUGUUCAAUUAUUCACCACAGGUUAUCUACAUAAAUCAAACUAUACGAGCUAGAUUUAAGCGAUUGAGAUUGGUUUAUUGUCUAGCUUGUUCUGGAAUGCUUACUUUCUGGUUAUCUUAACAUCUACAGUUAGCUCAUCAUCGUUUGUUCAUUAAACUGCAUAUUUUUCUAUGUCCAAGAUAUGUGAUGAUGCAGGUUAUUAUCUUGUUUUGUUAUCGCGUUAUUGCUUGUUGUCAUUGUUUGUCAUAGUUGUUGUAGUUAUUUACUGAAAUCAGAUUCUUUUAUUAGAGCAUUAUAUCUUUUACCAAACAACGGCAUACACUACUUCUCCUAGAGCUGGAAACACAAACAAUCAAACCUACUCUUUAAGUACUUGCUUGUUUUAUUUUGAGCUUUUUGGGUUCUUUUGAAAAUUUUGGCUUUUGCUAGGAUUAGAUUUGUCUGGUUUUUCUGGGCGUAUUUUGAAUUCUACGUGUAUUCUACAUGCAUAAUUAGGCCCUUCCAUCUUUUUUGCUUAGAUUCUUUCUGAGCUUCGCUAGAUUUCAUCCAUCAUUACAGCAUAGCUUUUUAUAAUUAUUUAUUUUCUUAUCAUAGCUCUCCUGAAUAUUUGUGAAGGUUCGAAAAUGUUCUCUGAUGCUGUGUGCUUUUUUCAUAAAUGGUUUUUAGUUUAAACACUAGACUCACCAGUCUGAUUAGUCAAUAGAUCAUUAUAAAUUUCUUCUUUAACGCGUAAUCAGGAAAUUUGUUGGAACAUAAUAAAUUAUUUUUGAUUAAUGUCUAACAUGUAUUCCAAAUUGUUUUUGCAUGUCUAAUUAUUUUCUGUCAGGAUAAUUUUUUUUCCUUUCCUUUCGUUUUAUUUUCUUGUGAAAAUCAUACAAAUCUUUGGAAACUUAGAGAUCAGUUUUUUUCUGAAUAUUUGAUUGAAAGUCAAGUAAAAACUCUGCAAGCGAAAAGCUUAAUUCUCUUAAUCGAUUGUAGCCCAAUAAGUGCAGGGAAUUAUACUAUGCUGUCGUGGUUUCUACGAAAUAUUAAACAUCCAAACACAGAAAGCAUUUGCUAACAAUGAAUCUGUACCUCGUUAUCAUUUGAUGAUGUUUGAAAAGUAUUAUCCCCAUUCACUGUUAUAAAUAGCGGUAAAUAGCCCCUCAAUAGCGGCACUAAUAGCGUUAGCGGUGCCUUCUCGUUACGUUAUCGUCCAAUAGCGGUGACAUAUUGCGGAAUAUGCACUUUCCAUUCGCAAAAACGGUCGAUAGUGUGCCGUAACGGUAAAUAGUGGGCAAUUACAUGUGAAAUUCGCUUUUCGAUUGCUAUUUAAAAGCGGUUUGACGUUUAUUUUUUAAAAUUAAACCUGACCAUUGACAAUGACCAUUGACCAUUGCGUUUCACCGUCUCCUAUGAUUUUCGGCAUACUCCCGUCACCUCUGGCAUCUACCUCAGUACUUCCUCUCACUUAUUUCACCGUGAGCUCCUCUUAGGACAGUCCUCUCACCCACUUUGCUCUUCUUCUCAAAGAUGACGACUCUUUGAUUCCUUCAGUCAUCUUCGCAAUAGCCCCAAAUAGCCUUAGUGAUGCCUCACCUCUAUGCGACGCUAGCCGCUAUCGAUAACCUUGCCCCCAUUUCAUUUCAUUCGCUUCGCAUGUGAUCAGCUCUAUCCACAUAUUUACAGCGUGACAACUAUUUUAUGUCUUAACCUCCAAAUUCCUUUUUAACAGUAUGGGUAGCCGGUAUUUUCCAUUAUUUGUUUAUUUUCGUAUGUAACGUAGGAAAGAUUCUUAUUUGUUUGGAAAUUAUUCUUCAAGAUUUAUAUC